rnacentral:rRNA from 1 species
UACGGGAGGCAGCAGUGGGGAAUAUUGCACAAUGGGCGCAAGCCUGAUGCAGCCAUGCCGCGUGUAUGAAAAAGGCCUUCGGGUUGUAAAGUACUUUCAGUCGUGAGGAAGGUGUUAAGGUUAAUAACCUUAGCAAUUGACGUUAGCGACAGAAGAAGCACCGGCUAACUCCGUGCCAGCAGCCGCGGUAAUACGGAGGGUGCGAGCGUUAAUCGGAAUUACUGGGCGUAAAGGGCACGCAGGCGGUUAAUUAAGUUGGAUGUGAAAUCCCCGGGCUUAACCUGGGAAUGGCAUUCAAGCUGGUUAGCUAGAGUCUUGUAGAGGGGGUAGAAUUCCAUGUGUAGCGGUGAAAUGCGUAGAGAUGUGGAGGAAUACCGGUGGCGAAGGCGGCCCCUGGACAAAGACUGACGCUCAUGUGCGAAAGCGUGGGGAGCAAACAGGGAUUAGAUAC